rnacentral:rRNA from 1 species
CAAAGUUAAAAGGCGCUUCGGCGUCACCUAGAGAUGGAUCCGCGGUGCAUUAGUUAGUUGGUGGGGUAAAGGCCUACCAAGACAAUGAUGCAUAGCCGAGUUGAGAGACUGAUCGGCCACAUUGGGACUGAGACACGGCCCAAACUCCUACGGGAGGCUGCAGUAGGGAAUCUUCCACAAUGGGCGAAAGCCUGAUGGAGCAACGCCGCGUGUGUGAUGAAGGCUUUCGGGUCGUAAAGCACUGUUGUAUGGGAAGAACAGCUAGAAUAGGAAAUGAUUUUAGUUUGACGGUACCAUACCAGAAAGGGACGGCUAAAUACGUGCCAGCAGCCGCGGUAAUACGUAUGUCCCGAGCGUUAUCCGGAUUUAUUGGGCGUAAAGCGAGCGCAGACGGUUUAUUAAGUCUGAUGUGAAAGCCCGGAGCUCAACUCCGGAAUGGCAUUGGAAACUGGUUAACUUGAGUGCAGUAGAG